UACGGAGGGUGCAAGCGUUAUCCGGAUUCACUGGGUUUAAAGGGUGCGUAGGUGGGCUGGUAAGUCAGUGGUGAAAUCUCCAGGCUUAACUUGGAAACUGCCAUUGAUACUAUCAGUCUUGAAUACCGUGGAGGUCAGCGGAAUAUGUCAUGUAGCGGUGAAAUGCUUAGAUAUGACAUAGAACACCAAUUGCGAAGGCAGCUGGCUACACUAAUAUUGACACUGAUGCACGAAAGCGUGGGGAUCAAACAGG
rnacentral:rRNA from 1 species